rnacentral:rRNA from 1 species
UGUCGGCAGGCCUAACACAUGCAAGUCGAACGGUAACAGGAAGAAGCUUGCUUCUUUGCUGACGAGUGGCGGACGGGUGAGUAAUGUCUGGGAAACUGCCUGAUGGAGGGGGAUAACUACUGGAAACGGUAGCUAAUACCGCAUAACGUCGCAAGACCAAAGAGGGGGACCUUCGGGCCUCUUGCCAUCGGAUGUGCCCAGAUGGGAUUAGCUAGUAGGUGGGGUAAAGGCUCACCUAGGCGACGAUCCCUAGCUGGUCUGAGAGGAUGACCAGCCACACUGGAACUGAGACACGGUCCAGACUCCUACGGGAGGCAGCAGUGGGGAAUAUUGCACAAUGGGCGCAAGCCUGAUGCAGCCAUGCCGCGUGUAUGAAGAAGGCCUUCGGGUUGUAAAGUACUUUCAGCGGGGAGGAAGGGAGUAAAGUUAAUACCUUUGCUCAUUGACGUUACCCGCAGAAGAAGCACCGGCUAACUCCGUGCCAGCGGCCGCGGUAAUACGGAGGGUGCAAGCGUUAAUCGGAAUUACUGGGCGUAAAGCGCACGCAGGCGGUUUGUUAAGUCAGAUGUGAAAUCCCCGGGCUCAACCUGGGAACUGCAUCUGAUACUGGCAAGCUUGAGUCUCGUAGAGGGGGGUAGAAUUCCAGGUGUAGCGGUGAAAUGCGUAGAGAUCUGGAGGAAUACCGGUGGCGAAGGCGGCCCCCUGGACGAAGACUGACGCUCAGGUGCGAAAGCGUGGGGAGCAAACAGGAUUAGAUACCCUGGUAGUCCACGCCGUAAACGAUGUCGACUUGGAGGUUGUGCCCUUGAGGCGUGGCUUCCGGAGCUAACGCGUUAAGUCGACCGCCUGGGGAGUACGGCCGCAAGGUUAAAACUCAAAUGAAUUGACGGGGGCCCGCACAAGCGGUGGAGCAUGUGGUUUAAUUCGAUGCAACGCGAAGAACCUUACCUGGUCUUGACAUCCACAGAACCUUGUAGAGAUACGAGGGUGCCUUCGGGAACUGCGAGACGGGUGCUGCAUGGCUGUCGUCAGCUCGUGUUGUGAAAUGUUGGGUUAAGUCCCGCAACGAGCGCAACCCUUAUCCUUUGUUGCCAGCGGUCCGGCCGGGAACUCAAAGGAGACUGCCAGUGAUAAACUGGAGGAAGGUGGGGAUGACGUCAAGUCAUCAUGGCCCUUACGACCAGGGCUACACACGUGCUACAAUGGCGCAUACAAAGAGAAGCGACCUCGCGAGAGCAAGCGGACCUCAUAAAGUGCGUCGUAGUCCGGAUUGGAGUCUGCAACUCGACUCCAUGAAGUCGGAAUCGCUAGUAAUCGUGGAUCAGAAUGCCACGGUGAAUACGUUCCCGGGCCUUGUACACACCGCCCGUCACACCAUGGGAGUGGGUUGCAAAAGAAGUAGGUAGCCUAACCUUCGGGAGGGCGCUUACCACUUUGUGAUUCAUGACUGGG